GGGAGGGGUCUACCACUAGAGGUUGUCAAAAAUAUUGGCAUAAAGGAUGUGACAACUCAAGUGUGUAUAUCCAUGAUUCAGUACACAAGGGACCAUGAGCAAGAUGCAUUAAGUUCGUUCAGUUCAAAUAAGGUUGUAGUUGGCUUUAAAGACUGAGUUUCAGCAAUCAACAAGUUUCAGGAAGAGUUUUCAAGGCUCGAAGCAUACAAGUCCUUUUGAGAGGUGCAUAAGCUACUCAGGUGCAAAGUAGUGUUCUUUACAAG
rnacentral:lncRNA from 1 species